GCAGCAGCAGCAGCAGCAGCGACCGUGCACACCCGGGCUGCGGCCGCAGCCGCGCUAACGUGAGCGCCCGCCGCCGCCCUCUCCACCCCGCCUGCCUAUUCCCGCGGCCGCCGGGCUCUUGCUUUCUCUCCGGCCUCCCCUCGACCCUUCCCCUCCCCCUACCCGGCACACUCGGGGGCUGGGAACGAGCUGCCAUGUGAUGCGCGUCCUCUCCGAGAGCUUUCGGUGACCCCCGAACCGCCCACCGCGCCAGCUCCCGGGAGGAGGCUGCAGGCUGGGAAGACACUGGGAAGAGGAGGCGGAAAAGGACGCAAAGUUCUCUGGCGAGUGCAGCUGUCUGCUUCAGGAAGUGAGGUCUACAGCAACGAGGAGAAUCUUCCAAAGCUGCCUCGCACUGUGACAUGUCUGAGCCCUUGCUCCAGUCCCUGCAACAUGAACAAGGUGGACACUCACUGACCUGUCACAAGGUUGCCCUGCAAAGCUUUGGGGUCCAUGUCUGAAUGGAUUGCUGGAGUCUUCUCAUCUCUCCCUUCGCCCGGUUCCCUGCAUCCUAAGACUCGAAGCCAGCACAGAGCCUGGAAAAAU